UAUAACACAUUAAGUCACCUUAUAGUUGUCAGUUUCGAAUAUUUUUAGAUUUUUAGAUGCCUUAAAAGGCUGCAAGAUAAAAUAGGUUAGCGACUUUUCCAAUGACAUGUGUACUUGCCACAGAACGUACAAUGUACGUACACAAAUAGGGAAAAGCCACCAAACUGGUUCCAGUCCAAAAUAACCUCCCCUGGCAUUGCAAUUGUAUUCGGGGAAAAUAAAAAUGUACAAAGGAAACGGAAGCCCCUUGAUAAGACGCAAUUUCUUGUCAAGUUAUCAUUCUAAUGAAAAAUUCCUUGGCCGUCAGGCCGAAUCGCUUCUCAAAAGGGAACUGCAAAAGAAUGUGGAAACAUGCGCAGUACCGCCCGACUUUCCAGGGAGGGUUUGAGGUUUUGAGGCGGGAAAAAAGCCCAGGGGUGACUAGAUUUUCUCAAAAAGGAAAGCGGUUGCAACGGCCAUUGUUUCGGAGAAGUACCAAAACAGCGAGCUGCGCCUUAUCGCGCAAAAUUCAGCCUGCAGCUCAUUCAAGGCAGUAAAUCCCCCUGCAUCCACCAGUGGCGUAAUGGCCUAAUCAUUUCAAAGGCGGAAACGCCAGAACUUCUAUCGCCUGGAAGUGACCAAGUCUUCGCUUUCCCUAUCAACUGCGCAGCAGCUGACCAAGAUUUUCCGCCUUUUGUGCGCAAUUCCCAGUCCCCCUUCUUCAGAUCUCUGCCAUUGAGCGUCCCACGUCGAGCUUUGUGCGCCAAAUGGGGCUUGUCGAGGUCUGAGACUCUGUCGCAGACAUCUUGGUGGCCCCGCGAGCAGCGAAAUCGAAGUCGACGUCGUGCCUCGGUGACCUACACACUGGCACACCCCCAAAGGCCCCAAAAACACUCCCCCCCUCCAAACACACACACACAUAC